rnacentral:rRNA from 1 species
UACGAAGGGGGCUAGCGUUGUUCGGAAUUACUGGGCGUAAAGCGCACGUAGGCGGACAUUUAAGUCAGGGGUGAAAUCCCAGAGCUCAACUCUGGAACUGCCUUUGAUACUGGGUGUCUUGAGUAUGGAAGAGGUGAGUGGAAUUCCGAGUGUAGAGGUGAAAUUCGUAGAUAUUCGGAGGAACACCAGUGGCGAAGGCGGCUCACUGGUCCAUUACUGACGCUGAGGUGCGAAAGCGUGGGAGCAAACAGG